rfam:Fukomys damarensis contig147961, whole genome shotgun sequence.
GGAUGUUAGGGCGAUCUGGCUGCAGCAUCUGUUACCUCAUCGAUCACCAGAGUUGACUCGGCUGAUCUGGCUGGCCAGGAGAGUGUCCCCUGCUCCCUCACCACUCCGUGGGCAUCCUUCCCAAAGCUGCACACUCAGAGGAAGAGGAUGACCACCCCCAAUAGAGGGGGACCAUCUCCUUGGUCAAGGGUUCAUGAAUAGCUGUGCUCCCCUGCUAGAACCUCCAAACAAGCUCUUAAGUUUGGAUUGUUUCUCCAAUUGAGAUUUGUUUUGAUCUAGGAAUUAAACUAGAGACUCAGCUUUGUUUUUCUCCUCUGGGGCCAGUUUUUCCAG